rnacentral:rRNA from 1 species
AUGGACAGCCAGAAGAGCGCUGUUGCCGUGCUGCGCAUGCUCUCCGGCGCCUGGUCAUACAUGAACUCCAGGUGCCCCACGGAGUUGAACGCCUCAGCCACCCCGUGCAGUGCGUACUGCGGCACCAGCCAGUACACAGACAGCGGGGCUGUCCCAGCGUCGGUGGUUCCCCCGGCCACGGCGGCCUCCCUGCGAUGGCGCUCGACGAAGCCCGCAACGAGGGAGGCCGCCACAGAGAUGGUGAACCCGACGCCCAUGCGGUGGAGGAAGGAGAUGCCACGGUCCAGGCCCGUGCGGCGGCGGGCCAGCGGGACGAGCGUACGGUCGUAG